GUGAGAUCAUACUGAGCUGAAUAUCUGCAUAACAGUUCAAACAUGGAAAAUGUAUUGUUGUUACUUUGUGUUUUCUUGACCAUAACAAGUGUCUUUUCCCAGUUAUCCUUCUCAGAAUCUGGUCCUGGGGCCGUGAAACCAGGAGACAAUAUGAUGUUGACCUGUAAAGUCACUGGAGCAUCCCUUACUGACAGUUCUGGAGUAUAUUCAGUGCAAUGGGUCAGACAGCCUCCAGGGAAAGGUCUCGAGUGGCUGACAGGGAUAUGGCAUGAUGGUACUAUACGCUAUGCCACAUCUGUGCAGGGUCGUUUGACAAUAUCAAGGGACACAACUAAGGGUGAAGUUUAUGUUAAAUUCACUGGAGCAAAAACAGAAGACAGUUGUGUUUAUUACUGUGCAAGAGAUGCACAGUGUAAUAAAUGUGCCAAAAUCCUAUACAUAAACUAA